AAUCAUACUAAACAAACAGCAGUGUGCCUACAUAGUGUGUCUUAUCUUUUAUUUCAUUUCUUGUAUUUUGUUGGCUGCAAGCAGAAAUCUUGGCAUAGAGAAAAUGGUGGGAAAAAGCCUGAACAGUAAAAAAUAGUUGAUACUCAGGUUUGUUUAAUCCUUUGUAUAUUAAUUCUUAUGCAGCAUUUCAUGUUUGUAUGUACUAAUAUGAUAAUUCAGGUGUUCAGCAAAGAAUAGCAGGAACAUAAUUGCAUCAUGCCUUAUCUUCUGCAAAGCUUUGGUAUGUCAGGCUAUUCGAGUUCAUUUGAGCAUUGGAAACUAACCUCGAGCUGAGUUUCGUCAUAUUGGAAUUCAAUUGAGCAUUGUCAUUUGUUUUGUUAGACUAUUCGAAUUGCAAGUUCUGCUCAUAGUAUCUUUGUAGCAUUUAGUCAGUUGGAAUAUCAUAGUAAAAGAAUAUACAGUUAGAUUAGCACUUACGUAGUUCAGUAUCAUAGUUUCCAUAAUAGUUGAAAACUAUCUUUGGUGACCUUAUUUCAUGCAUAAUCCUCCAAACAAUGAUUUCAAGAUGGCAAUGCCACAUAGAAAAUCCAUCAGGUUUCACAAGGAUAAUGAAAUUACAUUGAAAGAAUCAAUCAGAAGUUGAGCACGAACCUGUCGUGUGUUGCAAGAAUCGAUCAGAAUGUGAGCAAGAAUCGAUCAGGUAUGAAUUCCAAAUACAAUACUCAAAUUGGAUGGUCAUUGGGUGCAUUGCCUGGUGAUUUCGUGUGAGUGUGUGACUGCCUCCAUUGGUGAUGGAAGCUUCCAGAUAAUUUCGCUGCCUGAUUAAAUAUCUUUUGCCCUCUACAUUUUGAUCGAUGAUGGCUUGAUUAUGUUUGUGAUCCUGUUAAUUGAUGCAUGAUGACUUAAUUCUAAUAUGACACCUAAUUAAAUUCUAAUGGAUGAAAAUUGUAUAAUGUUUAUAUACAUCUGAUGAAUUAUAGCCGAUGCUUUCCCAUGUCUUUCCCGUUUAGCACAUUAUUGUUUCUGAUCAUGCUAUUACCCUGAAAUCUAGGCUAAGAAGUUGAGAAUUUUCACUCUUCAGGAACAUGGGUCUUUAUCAGCAUGCAAAUAACAGAGGAUCAAAUUUUGUGGAGCUUAAAUAUGUUGAGAAAUAAAUUUAACUAGGAUUCUCUUUUAGGGUUUUCCUUGAGUGGACAAAGUUAAGGACUUGUGGUUUUUCUAAAUAUAGAAACACGCAUCAUAUAUGAUGCGUCGGACAGAGCAGAUAUGUACUUGGAUGACUCAGCAUCAUAUAUGAUAGCAACGUCUUUUGGAUUCAAUAAUAUGCUCUUUCUCCU